GGUGGGCAGUUAGGAAAUUAGCCCGGCACCUUUGUCAUCUGGUGUAGAUAGACAAGCCUAAUGCUUGUUAAGACAUACUUUCCUAAAAGGAAAAGGUCUCAUUUGCAUUCUAUGUAAGCGGACAUGUAAGCAUAGGCAUACACUGCCUGUGGAUAUCACUUCAGGAUAGUACAGGAGGUAUUACGAAAUCUUUCAUACAGAAAGGGGCUUUUAUGUCUGAUAAGGCUGAGAACUACUGUCCUAGAGCAGCAGGACCCGGCGCUCCCUGCUUGACUUAACAGCCAGGGAAGGACAAGCUUCUCUGGAGACCGCUUCGUGGUACCAAGUGUGCCUUCUAGCUCGAUGUUGCAAAAGUUACUUAACCAAUCAGAGCCCAAGUUUCCAACCGUCAGUAAUGAAUGCUCACGCAUACCCACACCCCAUGGCGUUGCUCUGAGAGUCCAAAGGACGAUGCGUGUGAGGCACUUAGCACUGAUCUGGCAGCAAGAGAAGGGCACAUAUAACACAGAGGAAAGACUGUGAGAGGACACAGUGAGAAGCCAGGGACACGACUACAAUAGAAAAAGAGAGUCCUCAGAAGAAACCAACCCUGCCACACCUCGGUCAUGGACUUCCAGCCUCCAGAGUCCUAAGAAAAUAAAUGUCCAUUGUUUCA